rnacentral:lncRNA from 1 species
AGAGCGCUCCCGGGUAGGCAUUUGCCCCGGUUGAACACCUCACCAGAGCAGCGCACAGCAGGCCCCCGCGGAGGAUCAACGCAGUGGCUGAACACCGGGAAGGAACUGGCACUUUAAGUCUGGACAUCUGAAACUUGCUAGAGCCCUGUCGAGCAUAACUGUGUAGAGGUGUUGGACUCAAGUUUACUCUAGCAGACCUGACCUCCAGGACCAGCCUUGGGCAUCAGUAAACUGGGAGCUAUACGUGGACGGGAACAGCUUCAUCAACCCACAAGGAGAGAGAUGUGCAGAAUAUGCGGUGGUAACCCUGGACACUGUCGUUAAGCUGAGCUGAUUGCUUUAAUUCAGUCCUUAGAACUCAGUGAAGUUGCAGGUGUUGUGUCUUGGAUCCAUCACAGUCAGCUAACACUGGCAGCUCAGGACAAGUGGACCAGCCAGCAGGAUGCAGAUCACCCAACCUGGCUGAUCCUGAGACGAGACCAAGCUGCUGCUGAGGACGACAGCCCUGCUCUGGUCACUCCAGAGGCUGACCAGUCUACGCACGGCCGAAGCUUGAGGACUCAUCGAGCAAGUAAAUGUAGUUAAAAAUCUUAAGACUAAUAGUUUUCCUGUAAUACUAACUGUUUUCCUAUUGUUCGGUCGCUGUAUUCAACCUUUUUCCCAGGUAAGGACCUCUUUUGUCCUUGCUGGAUACGAAUAUGCUGUACAUUGUUUUGUUGUUGUUAACCCCCAUAACCAUGUUAGAAGAAACACCUAUAUAAGGUGUCCCCACUGUACACAUACUACUUAGGAAACCCAGACCUGUCCAGCCCAGUAACAAUUCCAAGUCUUUCAGUCAUUCUUUAAACAUAUAAACCAGAAGUUACCAGAACCUCCUCCCUUAGCAAAAACAGAAAAAACCUAUUUGCUCAGCUGGCUGAAAACAUUGCUAGCUGCCUAGAUGUUUCUUCAUGUUAUGUUUGUGAAAAGGCUAACAUAAGAGACCAAUGGCCUUGAGAAGCAAAAGAGUUAAUGCCUCAAGAUAACUUUAACUAACUCUUUCCCCAAACAGAUGCCACAAGUUCAAGCAUCUGGCUCUUAAAACUUCUAUUAUUAAAAAAUACCGUGUUACUCGCUAGGAAAAAGCUUUUAAGACACAGUAAAAAAAACUAACCUGCUUAAGACAUGACAAAGUUGGUACAUGUGCAUAUACAGGUUUAACACAGGUCUGAUCCUACGUGUUCAUUUAGAACAUAGUUUCCAGCUGUAAGAAAAUUUAAAACCCUCAUUGUAAGUGUAUUACUAGUAAUAGGAACUUGCUUGCUGCUCCCCUGUAUAUUAUAUUUGCUCCUUCAAAUGAUAAAAGGUUUUGUAGCUACCAUGGUUCAUCAGAAAACUUCAACACAAGUGUAUUACAUAAAACACUAUCACUCUGUCUCACAAAAAGACUCAAAAAGUAAAAAUAAAAGUGAGAACUCCCACUGAUUAGUGAAAAUUCUCAAAGGGGGAGAUAAGGAAGGAGACCACUACUACUCCUGCUGCCCUCCUCUCCCCACCUUGCCUAGUUCGCAAGACAGGAGGAGAGAAAAACAAAAAGUUGGAAAAAAAAAACAAAAGUAAGAUAAACAGCCAGACAACCUUGGCACCACCACCCGGCCUUAGGAGUUAAAAAAAGUAAUAAUAACCUCAACCCCUGACCUAAACUACUUGUGUUGUCUGUAAAUUCCAGACACUGUAUGAAAAAAAGCAUUGUAAAAUUUUUGUUCUGUUAGCUGAUGCAUAUAGCCCCCAGUCAUGUUUCCCACGCUUGCUUGAUGUACCACGACCCUUACACGUGGACCCCUUAAAGUUGUAAACCUUUAAAAAGGCCAAGAAUUUCUUUUUCGGGGAGCUCGGCUCUUAAGACACG